rnacentral:rRNA from 1 species
UCUCAGUUCGGAUCGGAGUCUGCAACCCGACUCCGUGAAGCUGGAUUCGCUAGUAAUCGCGCAUCAGCCAUGGCGCGGUGAAUACGUUCCCGGGCCUUGUACACACCGCCCGUCAAGCCAUGGGAGCCGGGGGCGCCUGAAGUCCGGGACCGCGAGGACCGGCCUAGGGCGAAACUGGUAACUGGGGCUAAGUCGUAACAAGGUAUC